AGCAGCCGCGGUAAUUCCAGCUCCAAUAGCGUAUAUUAAAGUUGUUGCAGUUAAAAGCUCGUAGUUGAAUUUCGGGAUCAAUACGUCGGUCGUGCUUCGGUACGUACUGGCGUAAUUGAUUUCUCCCUUCUGACGAACCAUGAUGUCAUUAACUUGGUGUCAUGGGAAAUCAGGACUGUUACUUUGAAAAAUUGAGUGUUUAAAGCAGGCACACGCUUGAAUACAUUAGCAUGGAAUAAUGAAAUAGGACGUUCGAUCCUAUUUUGUUGGUUUU
rnacentral:misc_RNA from 1 species